rnacentral:rRNA from 1 species
UUAAUUGAAGAGUUUGAUCAUGGCUCAGAUUGAACGCUGGCGGCAGGCCUAACACAUGCAAGUCGAGCGGCAGCGACUUAACUGAACCUUCGGGGAACGUUAAGGGCGGCGAGCGGCGGACGGGUGAGUAAUGCCUGGGAAUAUGCCCUGAUGUGGGG